UACGUAGGGUGCGAGCGUUAAUCGGAAUUACUGGGCGUAAAGCGUGCGCAGGCGGCGCGUUAAGACAGGUGUGAAAGCCCCGAGCUUAACUUGGGAAUUGCGCUUGUGACUGGCGAGCUGGAGUGUGGCAGAGGGAGGUGGAAUUCCACGUGUAGCAGUGAAAUGCGUAGAGAUGUGGAGGAACACCGAUGGCGAAGGCAGCCUCCUGGGCCAGCACUGACGCUCAUGCACGAAAGCGUGGGGAGCAAGCAGG
rnacentral:rRNA from 1 species